UUAAGGUCGAAGAUGAUGGCUCUUUAUUGCAUUAGUGUGAUACUUGAUUUUCAUUAGUUUUGAUUUGCUUGCUUCGGAUUUAUUCUUAUUCGGUCUUGGUUUGAAUAUAUCGAAUCUAUCAUUUUUUAGUAUUUGUUUGCAUGUUUCAAAUUUAUUAUGAUUAGGUUUUAAUUCGAAUGCUUGAAUCUGUAGUUAUUUGGUUCUAGUUUGCAUGUUUCAGAUCUUUUAUUCUUUGGUACCAUUUUCAUUUUUUUUUUCUUUUUGAUAUGUUCUUCUUGGGUUUUGCUUUGCAUGCUUUGAAUUUGAUAUCAUUCCACCUUCCAUUGAGUACUUUGGAUCUAUUCUUAUUUGGUUUCGGUUUGCAUGUUUCGAAUAUGAUAUUCUUUGGUAAUGCUUUGAUUGUUUUGGAUUUGUUAUUUUUGGGUUCUGGUUUGUAUGUUUCUUACCUAUUCUUAUUUAAUUUUUUCUUGAUUGUUUGGAUGUGUUAUUCUUUGUUCAUGCUUUGUUUUGAAUCUGUUUCAUUGUUUGUAAUUUAUUAUAUUUCAAAUUUCAUGUUUUCAUUAAUGUAUUUAGUCCCAGUUUGUAAUCCCAAACCUAUCUUUGUUCCAAUGUUUUUAGGCCGAUGAUGAAUGUUCCUUUUUUUUCCCACUAUUUAACUAAUUGAUAAUUUUUUUUCUACAUAUGAGGAUUUUUUUUUCAAUAAUUACAAUCUUGUUUUUAUUCAUUUAAUUAAUAACUGUUUUUAAUUAUACAUGUUUCAUGUUUUGAUACUUCAAUUCCUUUUAAGAACUUAUGAAUAUGUUUUCCCUUUAUUACUUCCCUUAUUUGUUAAAUUUGUUUGUGUUUGCCAAAUAAAACAUGUUUUAUGAUGUAUUUAUUGGUUCAUCAUGAUCUAUACUUGAGGUCUCCUUAUGCUUGAAAAGAAAUUAUUUUCUAUUUGAUGUAUUAUAUCUGGUGUGAUUAUAACUUAAGCCUACUAUUUUUUAUUUUUAUUUUAUUUUAUUAGUACCAAUAGUUGGAUUAUUGAUGUUGACUAUGUUCUUGGUUCUACCAUUCAAACGUUUGUUUUCUGAUUAUGACCAAUUCUGAUAAUGAAUAAAUUGAUAUACCAUACCUAACGCCACUAUUUUGAGAGUUUCUUUUAUCAUUUAUGAUAGUUUUCAACUUAUGUUUGUGUUGGGAUUAUGAAUGGUUGGAUUAUUAGUUUGAUUCUGACCAAAUUAGUUACUUUCAUCUCUUUUAAUUAAUGAAAAAGUAGUGGUUGUCUCUUCUAUUUAUUUAUUACUAUUAUUAUUUUUUAUGGUUGAGUUGGUGGUUGAAGGGAUAAAUUGAUGUCACUUCUAUUAAUUUUAAAACACUAUUCCAACUUCAUUUGACAGUUUGUGAAUGGUGGUUGGGUUUUAAAUGCUUCCAUUGUACUUAACUUCUAUAUAUAUUUCUCACUUCACUAAAUUACACCACCUCUUCAAAGUUGAUUCGCAUCCAAAGGGUAAGAUGUUUGGUCUUUUUUCCCUUUCAAGGGGUAAGUCAUCAUCUAACUUCGCCUUAUUUAUUUAUUUUUUACUCUCAUACACUCUUCUAUAUUGUUUUUUUUAUUUCAUAUUUCUCUUCUUCAUGUGACGGAUCCAUUGUGAAUUAUUUCAAACAACUUCACUUCUUCUAUCAAGUUAAAAUAUCAUAGUGCACGGUUAACUUUAGUAAGGUUGGAACGUUCGUGACAAAGCACUAUUCUCCUUUCGACACAUAAUUCAUUAAUUAUUAUUUAUGUGAUGCUGCCAUGCUAGCUAUCCAAAUGCUGAAAGAUUUUUGCCUACCUAUCGAGGACGACAAUACCAUCUGACUGAGCAGCGAGGAGGGAAUCUGCCAAUGAGUCGGAAAUAAAUUUUUAACAUAAGGCCUUCAUUUGCACAAACUGUGAUCGAAAGAGCAUUUAUGGAUAGACGAAGAGGACAGGAUUCUAGUUGAAUAGAUGUUACAGCUUGUAUAGUUCGACCCUUGGUGCACUAAUAAUGGAAUAUUUAGACCAAGAUUUCUCGUGAA